rnacentral:rRNA from 1 species
UACGUAGGGACCGAGCGUUGUCCGGAAUCAUUGGGCGUAAAGAGCGUGUAGGCGGCCUUUUAAGUCCUGCGUGAAAUCCUGCGGCUCAACCGCAGACGGUCGUGGGAAACUGGAAGGCUAGAGUGCGGGAGAGGAGAGUGGAAUUCCCGGUGUAGCGGUGAAAUGCGCAGAUAUCGGGAAGAACACCCGUGGCGAAGGCGGCUCUCUGGAACGCAACUGGACGCUGAGACGCGAAAAGCGUGGGGAGCAAACAGGG